rnacentral:rRNA from 1 species
GACGAACGCUGGCGGCGUGCCUAUACAUGCAAGUCGAGCGGACAGAAGGGAGCUUGCUCCCGGAAGUUAGCGGCGGACGGGUGAGUAACACGUGGGCAACCUACCCUGUAGAUCGGGAUAACAUCGAGAAAUCGGUGCUAAUACCGGAUAAUCAUUUGAAGUGCAUGCUUCGAAUGUAAAAGAUGGCUCCGGCUAUCACUACGGGAUGGGCCCGCGGCGCAUUAGCUAGUUGGUAAGGUAAUGGCUUACCAAGGCAACGAUGCGUAGCCGACCUGGGAGGGUGAUCGGCCACACUGGGACGGAGACACGGCCCAGACUCCUACGGGAGGCAGCAGUAGGGAAUCUUCCGCAAUGGACGAAAGUCUGACGGAGCAACGCCGCGUGAGUGAUGAAGGUUUUCGGAUCGUAAAGCUCUGUUGUUAGGGAAGAACAAGUGCCGUUUGAAUAAGGCGGCACCUUGACGGUACCUAACCAGAAAGCCACGGCUAACUACGUGCCAGCCGCCGCGGUAACAC